AAUUGAUCUGAACUUACUUUUAAGUCUUUGUAUCUCUAAGUGAAAUAAAAUCUCUCCGAACUGUAUAAGAAGUUAUUUUUAGAUCCAUGUCAUCCACCCAAGUCACAUGCUGCCAUUUAAGUCUAUAAAAAUGACAAAAGUGCCCUUUGAUGGUUUUAGAGGAAAAGAUUAAUUCUUGUAACCAAACCAUGUAUCCAGGUA
rnacentral:lncRNA from 1 species